CCUACGGGAGGCAGCAGUAGGGAAUAUUGCUCAAUGGGGGAAACCCUGAAGCAGCAACGCCGCGUGGAGGAUGAAGGUUUUCGGAUUGUAAACUCCUUUUGUUAGAGAAGAUAAUGACGGUAUCUAACGAAUAAGCACCGGCUAACUCCGUGCCAGCAGCCGCGGUAAUACGGAGGGUGCAAGCGUUACUCGGAAUCACUGGGCGUAAAGAGCGCGUAGGCGGGAUAGAAAGUCAGAUGUGAAAUCCUAUGGCUUAACCAUAGAACUGCAUUUGAAACUGUUAUUCUAGGGUAUGGGAGAGGUAGGUGGAAUUUUGGGUGUAGGGGUAAAAUCCGUAGAGAUCAAGGGGAUAACUCAUUGUGAAGGCAACCUGCUGGAACAUAACUGACGCUGUUGCGCGAAGCGUGGGGAGCAAACAGGAUUAGAUACCCGAGUAGUC
rnacentral:rRNA from 1 species